rnacentral:lncRNA from 1 species
CCAGAAAUGAAUAGUUUGACUUGAAACACUUUUUUACACAUUUCCCUUCUGUUUCUAACGAAAUUAUCGUAUCUUGAGCUCUCCUUUGCACUAUUUACGUUUCUUUUACAAUCCGGAAAAAUCAGUAUGACGAGAUAUUCUAAAUAUAUUCAACCUACAUUGUAUUUUAUAGUGACGUCAUUCUUGGAAUGCCACCAGAAGCAGGGAUAUCCUUCACUGGUUAUUUAAAUCAUUCCCAGAGAUCGUGCACUAAUUACAAAUUGGUAUUUGCUAAAUCUAAACAUAAUAUUGUUUGCUGUAGAUGAUUCAAACAUCAACAUGCAAUACUUUAAUUUGUAGGUCAGCAACUUUCUAAGUAAACAAAGAUCGUGGGGUUACAUGAGAUAGGGGGUUACACUAAUGACUGGACCGAAUGACAGGACCAAAUGAAAAAUGCUAAUAACUUUUUCAUUUCGCAAAGGAUUGAUCUCAAAUUUGAAAUAUAAUAAGAUUUCAUCAUUUGAUAAAUAGAUUUAAGAAAAAAAUUAAAAAGUUUUGUAAAAACUUUAGAAAACGUGACAUGACCAACUCUGAUAAUGACAGGACCA